rnacentral:lncRNA from 10 species
UAAAAUUAGAGGACCAGUUCAGGAGGUCCAACAUCUAAAUAAUAGGAGGCCUAUAAAGAGAGAAUCAGGAAAGAGAAAACUCCUAAGUAACUUAAAACCAUGCCCCAGAAUUGAUCAACAUGAGUUUCUAUCUUGUCUAACUGAAUGGGUCAAAGUGUGUGUAAAAAUGUACCUUCACCAAAGCACAUCAUCAAGGAAUUCAGAACAUGGCAGACAAGAGACGAUCCUACAAACACCUGGAGCACAUUAAAAACAGUAUUGGAAUGUACAACACUGUCAUAGAAAAUAAUGGAACAUUGCCUUUGAAGCUCUAAGAGAAAAUUGUUUCCAAGCUAAAAUGCCAUGCUCUGCCAAACUAUUAAUUAAGUGCAGGAUAAAAACAUGUUGAGACAUGCAAAUUCCCAAAAUGCAGCUCCACUCACCACUUCUCACAAUAGGGGGGUGAAGGAUGUGUUCCACCAAAAACAAGAAAAGGGAAGCAGAGGAUGGGCAUAAGGAAGAGGUUAGAGGACCCCAACCCGGGAGGAAAGAGCUACGAGGCCAGAACAAAGAAGGCAAAGGCUCUGGAAGGGAGUUCCCGCAGAAGAUGAAACUCACAGAAUGCCUGACAUGUGAACACACUGGUUAGAAAACUGAGGCCCACAGAGUAGAAAUGACAUGUUCCCCAAUGCUCAGGUGGUGAGUUAGACAAGCAGCUCUCUUGGGGAGAGGACUUAAAGAGAGAGAACAGAGAGAACAAGAGGAGGGAAGAUGAAGCCAUCCAGAAGGAGGAGGUAUUAGAGAGGCUCAGGUGGCUCCUAACGGAAUUGUGUAACAUCGCCCAAGCCUCUCAAGAGAACAGCAUUCCACAGAAGAGGAGGUAGCCACCUGGGGCCCACCAGGGGACUCCUCCCUCUGAGGCCCCACUGGAGCUAAAAGUUUAAGAACACACCCCAUGGCUGCAAUCCAGGGCUCAGGAAGCUGCUACUGCUGCCCCAAACCCUCCUGUCAACACCCAGCAAACUCCAGAAUGGAUCCUGGAAUGUUGUUGCAGAAACACUUCACAUCUCCACCACCUCACCUGGGAACAAAAGCUGCGAAAGGGGCAAGAAAGUGGCCUCUGCUUUGCUUCUGCCUUCCAAACACCACCAAAGGUAUGACAUUAUCUACCUAAAUCCUUAUGGAAAGGAAGUUUUGAACAAUGCUGCUUUCAGUGUUCCAACAUUUCCGGGGAAGUAUGGACCAGAGAUUGAACGACACUUCAGAUUCUACCACACCCUCUGUUGUAUUCAUGCCUUCCCUUCCAUCUGAACCUCUGUCCCAGGCAACUGCUCCAGAAACUUCCCUUUUCUUCUGAGGCCUCCGAAGGAAUGCCCGCCAGCACACUGGUAAAUUCAUGCAAAAAGAUGCCCAGAGGGGCCCCUAGUCAACCAGUUCUGCAUAUAGCUCAACUCGGAGUCCCAGUGUGGCUUAGCGAGGACACCCUGCUUGACUUGCUUGGGGACAUAUUAGCAUGCUGAACAGUCAAACUUAUCCCUCCCCUCUCACCCACCAGAGAGCGUCCAGCUAAUCCAGAGGGAGGAGGGAUUUCAGGGUCAGCUUGGUGACCCAAGAAGCAUGUUGGGCGGGAUGCCUGAGUCUGAGACAGAAAAGGCUGAGGGGAGCCGAGAGUUCAAGAGAAAGGAAGCAGAUGACGCUUUCCCCAAAGGGAGUCUGACGUGAUCCCUCAGCUCAUGGAAUCCAGCGGUUACCCUUCUGAGCCUUGGUUUUCUCAUCUGUAAAGUGGAGCUGGAGAUAACACUCUCAUAACACAAAUAAAUGAUAAAUGAUUGAGAUGAUGGAUAUGCUAAUUAUUCUGAUUUGAUCACUACACAUCAUAUGCAUGUAUCAAAAUAUCACUCUGUAUCCAGUAAAUAUGUACAAUUAUUACAUGUCAACUAAAAUUUAAAAACUACAACAAAGAAAUGUUUAUUUGUGCAGUUUCUACGCCAAAAACUCCUCAAACUUCAAACAAGAACGUGACCAAUUUUAUAUGAUCAUAUCAAACAGUCUCCCUUAUUUUUAGAGCAGAAUGAGUCAAUGGAUUUAAUUUAGCAAAUGGCCGGGGCGGGGGAUGUUUAAAAUAAUUUUAUUAUAAAAUUUUCAUAUUAAAAAAAGAUAACACUCUCAUAGGAAUGUUGUGGGGAACAUUGUGUUGUAAAAAAAUAACACUUGGAAAGCUCUACAAAGUGCAAAAAUCACUUUCAAAUGUGGUGACUUAAAACAGCAGCUAGAGCCGACCUGUCCGGGAGGUGAGGGGCGCCUCUGCCCGGCCGCCCCUACCGGGAAGUGAGGAGCCCCUCUGCCCAGCCAGCCGCC